ensembl:lncRNA
UUCACACUGAGAUCUGGUGCCCACUCAGAGACGGUGUAGCUGUCCUCUAUACAGACCCUGGGUGAGACUAUUUAUGCCUCCCUGUCCUGCUGUGCAUCACUUGGAGACCUCACAAGAAAAGGCACCUGUGGAAAUAGAAUAUGAUUGAGGUAUCUUGGGAUAUUUCACCACAACAGCAAGAGCUGCUGGAUUUUCCUGAGGAAGCAACAGAUCCUCUGCAGGGCAGAUCUACCAGAAAGGGUGAAAAAUUAGCCUGUUUGCCAUGGAGCAAAGCCUAUAAAUACAGUGAUCUAUAACAAACUGUGUGGGUUUCUUCCGAGGGGACAGAAAAAUAGAUGAGGAGUCCUUGUCCACAAACUGUAUUUGUGGCAGGAGGUCCUAAUUACAGCAGAAAAGACUGCUGGAAUACAUGAGCAUAGGCAGCUCCGGAUGUGGUAGCUACAGAGUACAGAAGGCCAGAGACUUUCUCCUGAGUUUCUGCAAAGACGACGAUGUCCCACUGCAGAAGAUGCUGAGUUAAAGCCUGAUACCCCAACGUGCCUUACUCCUGCUAUUAAGAACACAAAUCAGCCAAUAAGGAAUAAAGAUGCAUAUUGUUGCUCAAAAUCAAAAUUAUUGGCUAAAUAUUUACUUGCCUUUAGAUCUGAG